rnacentral:rRNA from 1 species
UACGGAGGGUGCAAGCGUUAUCCGGAUUCACUGGGUUUAAAGGGUGCGUAGGUGGGUUGGUAAGUCAGUGGUGAAAUCCCCGAGCUUAACUUGGGAACUGCCAUUGAUACUAUCAGUCUUGAAUAUUGUGGAGGUCAGCGGAAUAUGUCAUGUAGCGGUGAAAUGCUUAGAUAUGACAUAGAACACCAAUUGCGAAGGCAGCUGACUACGCAUAUAUUGACACUGAGGCACGAAAGCG